rnacentral:lncRNA from 1 species
AUUUCAGGAAUUGGAGAUGCCCCUGUGGCUGAGGAGGAGCUGGGGCUGGGGCCGGGGCCAGGGCCGGGGCUCUGACCUGCCACUCUGCCCCACAUUAAGGGCAGAGACCGAAGAGGUGGCUGCCUGGACCUUGGAGCCCCAGGGUGGGCGGCCACCUUGGCCAGGACUCGGGCGCCCCCUUACAGAAGGCUGUGCUCACCCCUUCUUUUCUCGCCCCUGCUCUGUGCUGCAUUUGGAAAGAACCUAAAUGUCCUCCCUCUGAAGACUGGUUAAACAUCUGGUUAUGAUCCAGUGCUGCUCAUCUGACACCUGAGGGCCGCUGGAGACCCAGGGACACUCCUGCUGCGGCUCAUGUUUGGAAGCUGUCCGGAGGCGGGACUUCCUCUUCCUCCAGGGGCCGCCGUCCGGAGGCGGGACUUCCUCUUCCUCGGGGACAACUGUCUUUUUCUCUUAAGGCCUUGGACUGCCUGGAUGAGGCUAUAAUAUGGUCAGUACUCUGCUCUACCCAAAGUCUCCUGAUUGAAAUAUUAACCUCAUCCAAGAAACACCCUCACAGCGACGUCUACACUGGUGUUUGACCAAAUAGCUGGGGACCGUGGCCUGGUCGAGCUGACACAAAAGUAACCAUCACAGCUGCUGCUAUGGUCUGAAUGUUGAUGUCACCCCCAGAUUCAUUUGUUAGAACUUAAGCCCCAAGGCGAUGGCAUCACUGGUGGGCUUUGGGAGAUGAGGAGGAUAUGAAUGGGACCAGUAGCCUCAUAAGAGUUUUGAGGGUCCUGGUUGCCCUUCCCCACCCUCCCGUCCCUGCCACUGGGUGAGGACACAGCAAGAAGCCGCCGUCCUGGGAGCAGAGAGCAGAAAGCAGCCCUCACCAGACGCUGAAUCUGCUGGGGCCUCGGUCCUGGACGUCCCAGCCUCCAGAACUGAGCGAUGAAAUUCUGGUUACAAAUUGCCCCCUCUGAGGUAUUUUGUUUUAGCAGAAGGAACAGACGAGGAUGACCACCGAGGCCCUUCUCAGGCUGCCGCGGGUCUCCAGGAUGGGGACAGUCAGCUGGGGCCAACCGAGCUGCAUGUGGUCAAGGGCCCAUGCAUGUGACCAGGGCCCGCCUCCCACGUCACCCAGUGCACCCUCAGCAUGGGACACGGACCUAGACACUGCCGGGGUCUCCGUCCUUGCAGGCACUGCCAGGCGCCCCUCCCUGGGAGAAGCUGCAGCUCUGAGGCUACGGUCUUGCAGGUCAGCCACCACCUGGCUUUGUGGUCUGUUAUGCCCGGCCUAGUGUCCAGGGUGGUGACAUUUAUUUGAACAAAGACCAGUCUCCACCACCAAAGUCAUGGCUCUGCUGUUGCUUCCAGAACCAAAGAAAGGCUGGCUUCUGGGCUGGGCGUGGUGAUUCACGCCUGUAAUCCCAGCACUUUGGGAGGCCGAGACGGGCAGAUCACGAGGCCAGGAGUUCGAGACCAUCUUGGCUAACAUGGUGAAACCCUAUCUCUACUAAAAAUACAAAAAAAAUUAGCUGGGUGUGGUGGCACGUGCCUGUAAUCUCAGCAACUCAGGAGGCUGAGGCAGGAGAAUGGCUUCAACCUCGGAGGCGGAGGUUGCAGUGAGCCAAGAUCGCACCACUGCACCCCAGCGUGGGCAACAGAGCAAGACGCUGUCUCAAAAAAAAAAAAAAAAAAAAAAAAAAAAAGUCGGCUUCUCAAGCAGGUGGAAUCAGCGCUUGAUGAGACUCUGUAAUGACUGCAUAAUGAAGGCCCUCCCGGUCCUCCCCCAGCCGGUGCUCCUGUGAAACGGAGCCUGGGAAGCUCCCUUACUGGAGAAGUCUUUCGGCCGGAGAAUCGAUUCCUGCAGCCCCUUGUUUCAAUUCCGUGAGGCUUGAAGGGAGGGGCCGGCGGGCACCUGCAGACAAAUGCAUCCCAGGUGUAAGGAGGGUGCCCGUGGUCGCCCACGUGGCCAGCACAGGGCCGAGGGGGAUGAGGGCAGGGGCUGCCGCCUGCACUCAGCUCCAGGCCUGCCUCAGGGGAGCUGCAAAGCUACUCAUUCUCAUCAGCUUCAAGCUGACAUCCUUUUUGUCUUCAGUCCAGUAUUAGCUUAAAGGGAAAAGCGUUCUUGUUUGAAAUGUUAACUGGGUGCAUUCUGCUCGUUUUAAUUGUUUCAUUUGCCUAUUACGGCAGCCACAGCAGACGUGUUCCGAUUAGCAAAGAGGAAAAUCUAUCCACUGGAUCAAACUUGUAAAUGUGCAUCUCUCGGGGACUCUGUCCACAUCAGGCCUGUCCCUGGGGUCAUGGGGUGUGGGGAGGGGAGGCGAGGGGCCAGUGCUGGCCAGGUGGGACGAAGGCCACUGGGUCCGUUCCAGUCAUUGACUGCUCUCUUCUCUCCUCGUCCCUCUCACUCAGGCCAGGUCCUGACCCCCUUCCUGCUAAGGGCGGGUGGGCUUGGCAGCCUCUGCUGGGCACAGGGUGGUGGCCACAUCUGCUGCCUAAAAGGGCUGCCCCGGAGCAUCCCUGGGGGUGCUGUAUCUGCACCUCCAGCACUGCAGGCCCCUCACAGUGUCCCAGCCCUGUUGCCGGGUGGCUGCUCCCCUGCCCUUGGGGCUAGGGCAUCCAGGUCCUUUGGGGGCUCUGCUGGCGGUGCCCAGACCUGUGGGAGCUGAGCCCCUCCUGAUCCAGCCUCCCUGCUGGGUGCCCUCCCCUGGGCCUGCAGGGCGGGAGCCCCCGGGGCUGCUUCUCCUGGGGCCUGGGCCGUUACAGGGUGAACACGAAGCGAGGGCGCACUAAACACGCUCCGUAACUACCUGGGCUUGACUCGGUCUGUCCUCCACACCGCCCUCACCCAGGCCUAACCUGUGUGUGGCACGGCGGGAGGGGCCCCCUGCUGUCUGGGUGGUUGGUGGGCCACUGCACCUGCUCCAUCCCACCCGUGGCCUGCACAGCCUGUCCCCACCCUGCAUCACUGAGGAGCCUCCUGGGGUUCUGCCGUGGUCCAUGCUGCAGACCUGCCUGGGACAGCCCCUGCCAGGCCCCCCAGGCUAUCCCUGCUGGGCACUCACUCUGGCCAACCACCAUGGCCUGCAGCCUCCCCUGCUUCUCACACUGCCUGGCGUGGGACCCUGUCUCAGAGAGGAGCUCCCCGCUGCGUCCCUCUCUGCAUCGGGACGUGCACACUCUGCACUCCCUCUCCAGAAUAUUUCUCCUUCUCCAGUGACAGCCCGCCAAGCUUGCUCUCAGCUCUUUGAGGAUCAGCUUAGAGAUGGCUUCUUCCAGGAAGUCCUCCCUGAUGCUCCAAAGUGGCUGGUUCCUUCUUUCAUGCCCAAACUGCCCCUCACAGCUGCUCACUCCAACAAAGGCACUGGCCUCUGUGAUGAACCAGGAGACUGAGAGAGCUGGGGAGAUGCUCCAGGGCCUGUCCUGGACUGUCUUGAUUCCCUGGGGCCUGGCACAUGGCCCGGGGCCUGGAACUCAGACAAGAGCUCCACAGGAGCUGAUGGCAGAAUGAAUGAAUGAAUGAAUGAGGUGCAGGCUCGGGGUCCUUGGAGCCUCCCAGAUUUCCAGGCAAGCCCAGCUGGGUCCAGUCCUGGGGCCUGCACCUUCUAGAUGGCCAGCCUGAGCUGCUGGGGGCCCAGCGACCUCAGGGGACAAGAAUGGUGGGGAGGAGGAGCCCCUGGGGAGGGGAUGCUAUUGAGCCCCAGGAGGAGGGUGAGCAGGGGUGGGGUGCGGGGGUGAGGUGGACAGGAAGCUUCAAGGAACACCCCAUGAUCUGAAGGCACCAUCUUCCUUCUCGGGACCCUGCCCCACCAGGCCUGCCGGGCCCUCAGAGGAUCACAGCACCCUCACGCUCUGGGACAGGUCCAAGCGCAGCCCGCGUGGCCCCUACAAGCCUGCUGUCAUUGGCUAAGGUGAGUUUACCUGAAGGCUCAGGGACCCUGGGGGAUGGGCUGAGGGGAGCGGCAGUGUUGCUGGGGACACAGAUCCUUGGUGCUGGGUAGACAAGGUUGCCCACCAGGGACCCUCAGGCCCACAGAAACACACUCAGGACACAUACGUGACACCCCAACAUGCACACACGCUGACACACAUGUGCACACACAUGCACGGAGAGACACAACGACACCACACAGGCACAUGCAGACACAUGUGUGCACACAUAUGCAGAUACACAGACACCCCAACACAUGCACAUAUAGACACACCCCAACACACUGACACACGUGUGCACACACAUGCACACAGACACAACACCUCAGCAUAUACACACACGCACACACAUACACAGAUACAUAGAUACCCCAACACAUGCACACAUAGACACAGACACCCCAACACAGACUGACACACACAUGCAAACAUGCAUCCCAACACACACACUGGCACAUGUGCACACAUCACACCGAUGCACAUGGACCCCCACACUCACACACACUGACACGCAUGUGCUCACACAUGCACAUAUACAUACACACUUAGCUGCCUCAGACACACACACCCAGGACCCUCAGGCAUGUGCCCCACAAUGACCUACAAACACACAAGCUCUCAAGGGUACCCCCACAUACACACCACCUCAUGGACACACAACCCACGAACACGCGCCACACCUUCCUGCUCUCCCUCACACACACAGACACACACCUCCCACCUGGGUGUCCUCCGCCUGCACUUGCCUGGCAGCCUGCUGUGGUUUCCCUGGAAACACUGUCACCAUGGUGGCUUUGCAGAGCCUGGGGUGCAGCUCCAGCGCAAAGCCCAACCUGGGGCACAGGCAGCCAGUGGGCAUGGACUGGAUUCAGAAGAGACGCCCAGUGGAGGGCUCAGGUGGGAGGGGGACAGGCCCUGAGAGGCACAGUGGGGGCAGGGCAGCUCACUCCCGCCAGAGUCCCUGCAGCUGGGCUGUGCCACCCCUGCCAGGUCCUGAGAUGGGAGGAAGUGCAGCCCACCCUGCCCCUGCCUGCCCAGGUCAGCAGUGCCCACGGGCAGAAUCCCUUCCUGAGCCCCCUGCUCUCCUGGAGACAGCAUGGGCCACAGGAGGAAGGAAGGAGCUGGGGAGAAGGUGGGGCCUGCAGCCUGGCUUGCCAGGGAGGAGGGGUGGAUGGGGACCAAGAGCCAGGAAUCCCGGCACAGCCGGGAGGAGCCGAUGAGCCAGGGCAAGGGGUCAACACUGGAGCCUGAUCUCCCAGGAAGGGUGCUGUUCUGGGCCCCGGCUGGGCCAGAUGAGGCACCACGUUCCCAGGCCCUGUGUUGGCAGCAGGCCUACCUCUGCCCUCCCAGGCACUCUGGGGUGUGGUCCCAGGGCCUCCCCACUUGAAUGGAGGCCAGCCAGGUCCGGCAGGUGGGAGCACCCAGGCAUGCGCUGGGUGUGCAGAGGGAGGGCCCAUGCUGCCCCACGGUUACCAAGCUGCAGGGACAGAGCACGGGGGCUGCCUCUGUGGCUCUUGGUGGGGCACGGGGCUGUGCUGGGAGGCCCAGACAUCAGGGAGGGAGGAUGGGCUUGGAAUGGGGACUAUAAAAGGUCACGGUGGGGAGGGCCGCUGACCCCUGUCCUUCUCACGGGGGGUCUCCAGCACACCCUGCUGCCACUGGCCCCUCGGCCUGGAGCCAGGCUCCAUUGUGGAGUGGGUAGUGGCCACUGUGGAAGGGUUGGGGACACUUAGAGGCUGAGCUGCUGGAUGCAGGUUGACAUUUGAAGCCUGGCCUGAUGGAGCUGGGCUUUCCCUGGAGCGCUGGACAGGCCACCCAGCCUUCUGGCUCUGCUUCCCUCCUGCAUCUCAUGCUGGGAUUGAUGGGUGGUCAGGGUGCCUGCUCUGAGCUAAGGCCUGACUGGCCCCAAAUUCUGGGACCCAUGCAGAGGGAAGGGGACAUCUGUGGUCCUUGGAGGAAGGAGUCAAAACAAUUGGGGCAGAAAAUGGGAUGAGUGGGCAAGGGCGGGAGAGCACAGCUGAGAAUGCCCGGGGAUGAGGAGUGAGCAGGGACACUGCGCAGCUGCUCUGGCCUGGACUGAAGCCCACCAGGGUACACCCUGAGGCCUGGUAGAGUGCCAGGGCCACACUGCUGAGGCUCCCUGUCCUCGAAGUCCGCUUGGAGCCCUCCUACCUCUCCAAAGGCGGCAUUCUCCCCUCCACCGAGCCCGUGUGUUCAUCCACACAGUCCCCAUUUCUCAAGGCAGGGGGCUUGCAAGACAGGAGCCAGGCCAGGUCCCGGCCACAUCUGGUCCACAUGGCUUGUUUGUGGUGUGGUGCCCGCAGCCGUUCCUCCAGAAACAUGCCUCAGCAGCCCAGCACCUUCCAGAGAGCCUUGCACACAGGCAUGCAUGAGGAAGCUGUGAGGAGUGUGAUGACAACAGCAAUAAUGACAAAGGUGAUGACAGUGGUGUGAGGUGAUAAUGAAGACGGUGGUGGUGAAGAUGAGAUGAAGAUGAUGGUGGUGAUGGUGAUGGUGACAGUGAUGACAGUGAUGGUGGUGUAAUGGUGAUGAGGUGAUGAAGGUGGAGUGAUGGUGAUGAGAUGAAGAUGAUGGGGAUAAUGGUGGUGAUGACAGUGAUAGUGAUGGUGUGAUGAUGGUGACAGUGACUGUGAUGGUGAUGAUGAUAGUGAUGACAGUGAUAGUGAUGGUGAUGAUGAUGGUGAUUGUGAUGGUGAUGGUGACAGUCACUGUGAUGGUGACAGUCACAUAGUGAUUGUGAUCUGAUGAUGAAUGUGAUGACGAUGACAUUUAUAGUGAUGGUGUGAUGAUGAUGAUGAUGGUGAUGGUCACGGUGAUAGUGAUGGUGAUGAUAGUGAUGACAGUGAUAGUGAUGGUGAUGAUGAUUGUGAUGGUGACAGUGAUAGUGAUGGUGAUGAUGAUGAUGGUGAUUGUGAUGACAGUGAGAGUGAUGGUGGUGAUGAUGGUGAUUGUGAUGUGAUGAUGAAUGUGAUGGUGAUGGUGAUGAUUGUGAUGGUGACAGUGAUGGUGAUUGUGAUCUGAUGAUGAAUGUGAUGAUGAUGACGACAGUGAUAGUGAUGGUGAUGAUGAUGGUGAUUGUGAUGUGAUGAUGAAUGUGAUGAUGAUGAUGGUGACAGUGAUGGUGAUCAUAGUGAUUGUGAUAUGAUGAUGAAUGUGAUGACGAUGACAUUUUAGUGAUGGUGUGAUGAUGAUGAUGGUGAUGGUGACAGUGAUAGUGAUGGUGAUGAUAAUGAUGACAGUGAUAGUGAUGAUGAUGAUGGUGGUGAUUGUGAUGACAGUGACAGUGAUGGUGUGAUGAUGAUGGUGAUGAUGGUGAUGGUCACAGUGAUAGUGAUGGUGAUGAUGAUAGUGAUGACAGUGAUAGUGGUGAUGAUGAUGGUGAUUGUGAUGACAGUGAUAGUGAUGGUGUGAUGAUGGUGAUAGUGAUGAUGAUGAUGAUGGGGAUCGUGGCACACCUGAGCUAACCUUUUGGGCCAGCAGCGCCCCCUGCCACUUGCUGGACACCCCAGGCGCCGGCAUGCUGGUUGCUCCCCUGCUGUCUCCCAGCUCUCAGGCAGUAACUCUCUCAGUCAUGUGAAGACAUUGAAAUGCAGCCGUCGUGCCUGGCAUGCGGUUGGGCAUUAAUUACAUCUCCUUUUGCAAAGCCUAAUCAACUUCUCCUAAUUAACCUGUUUCCUGUCAAUGUGAAAUAAUUGAAUUCACUCGGAAUUGGCUGUGCACAUAGAGCCAUCAGAAGCCUACGUGGCUAUUUGUAAUGGUGGAGAUUUUGCAAACAACAUACCUUGUUUUGAAAACACAUUUUCAAUCCCUGUGGGCAUAUGUCCCUCUGAUGCACAAGCUUUCCGUGCUUUCCUAGAGCAGGGAUGCUUCAUUCAUGGGGUCUGUGAACUUGGACGAGAAAAAGCAACAUCUCUAUUUUACUAAGCUCUGACUGAAAUCUGGCAUUUCCUUCCACGAGGAACGCCAGCCAUCCCAGGGCUUUAUCUCAAAUAGAAAACACAGGUGUGUUUGUAUCACUUUGCAGUUGUUGCAGGUUUUUCAAACUUGUCCACACUCACCUCCACCUCUAAAACUCAGGGGCUGCUGGACGCUGGGUUUUGUUAUCCAGUGCGACGUGUAAUGCAGCCACUGCCACCCUCACACAUCUGCUUUGUUGAUAUUUUGACAUCUGCUUCACUAUGGCUGUUUUCCUUGGUGGCCGUAUGUGUUUUUGUCCAAGUAAAUCAUGAAUGGUAGAGCGCAGGGAUUUCUAGGGCAGUGAAAUGAUUCCAUACGAUACUGUGAUGGUGGACACACGGCAUCGUGCAUUUGUCAAAACUGAUGGAACAGCAGCAGUGGUCCCCAACCUUUUUGGCACCAGGGACCAGGGACCAGUUUUAUGAAAGACAUUUUUCUUAUAGACCAGAGGCUGGGGGGGGCGAUGAUUGGGGAUGAAACUGGCCCACCUCAGGUCAUCAGGCAUUAGAUUCUCGUGAGGAGCUCGGAGCCUAGCUCCCUGGCAUGGGCAGUUCACAAUAGGAUUCAUGCUCGUAUGAGAAGCUAAUGCUGCCGCUGAUGUGACGGGAGGUGAUGCUCAGGUGGUAAUGCUUUGCCUGCCCACCUCUCACCUCCUGCUGUGUGGCCUGGUUCCUAACAGGCCCUGGACUGGCACCAGUGCCGAUGCAAAUGACGGGCAUAAGGGCACUGUGGGUGGGGGCUCAGGGAAUGCCCUGUGCUACCUGCUCCCUGCUCUGUAAACCAAAAACUGCUCUACAAAAUAAAGUCUAUUCACUUAAAAAAAAAACUCUUAAUUAUGAAAAAAAUUAUCCCCAUGCUGUCAAAACGCCCCCUCCCCACAGGAGCAGAUGCUCUAGGGACAGCUGGCCCAGGCUCAGGCCAGCUGAGCCCCUUGCCAGCAGGCGUGCAGCCCACGCCUGCCGGAACAGGGGAACAGCAUUGGCCUCUGUGUCCUGGAACAGGGUGGGAUGCCUGGGGCAGCACAGCCCCCAGAUCUAUGGCCAGGUACAGCCACCGGCAGUGAACACCUCCGGAGGUGGCCUGCAAGGAAGGAACGGUCACGUCGUUGAAAGUGCAAUUCAGCAUCCACACGGCACACGCACGCGCACACGUGGGUACACAGCAUCCACACGGCACACACACGCGCACGCGUGGGUACACAGCAUCCACACGGCACAAGCACGCGCACGCGUGGGUACACAGCAUCCACACGGCACACACAUGAGCACUCAUGGGCACACAGCAUCCAUAUGGCACAUGCACACACACACGGGUACACAGCAUCCACAUGGCACACGCAAGGCACACAUGGGCACACAGCAUCCACACGGCACACGCACGGGCACACAGCAUCCACACGGCACACACACGGGCACACGGCAUCCACACGGCACACGCACGUGGACACACGGGCACACGGCAUCCACAUGGCACACGCACGGGCAUGCGGCAUCCACACGGCACAUGCAAGGCACAUGGCAUCCACAUGGCACACGCACGCGCACACGGCACCCACACGGCACACGCACGGCACACGCACGCGCACGCAGGGGCACACGGCACCCACACGGCACACGCACGCGCAGGCACGGGCACACGGCAUCCACACGGCACACGCACGCACACGCAUGGGCACCCAGUCGCACAUGCGUGUCAGUAUCAGCAAGCAGCCCCACUGCAGGACAGGCCCAGUAUGCUCCUUUCCCAGUUUUGAGGAGCUGAAAUUCUUCCUUAAUCUAAAUGUUUUCCGUUCGGAACGCACACGUGUUGUGUUUUUUCCACAGUCAUUAGAUUCAGAGUAAUUAAACCAAAACGCUCAUUUCUGGAAAGAGACAAAGUAUUUUGAGUUUCUACAUCAAUAUUUAACAUCUGCCUAACAUUUUAUAUGCUGCCCUGGUGGGUAAAACGAUUUCUACUCUCCAUAAAGAUGGACUCUGCCACAAAUCCCUCAAGAAAGAAAGAUAUUUUCUUGUGAAGAGUCAGCCAUAGUGUCUGCCUUACGUAGAGCUUGACAGUUUUUUUUCUUAUUUUAAAAUCUCAGAGCCAAAUUCAGUUCGACAAUCAAGCUAAAUGAUUAGUCGGCUUUAGAGCUGAUGUGUGUGAAGUUGGAAUUUAGCACAUUAAAUAUUUCAGGGAGAAAGUGCGCAACGUGAGACAGAAAGGCAGAGGCUUCCUCUAGAACUCAGCCUGGAGUGGUUGCAGGAAAAUGCGCCAAUUAGCAGGGGCUUCGUUCUCGCCAAUGUGACAGCUCAGAACAUUUGCAAUCCAUUUUGGAGGAUGAGAAAGGAAUACUGUGCUCCCCUUCGUGCAAAAACCAAGCCAUGCAGAACAAAAUUACAGGCCAGGAGGACAUGCCAGGGCCUGUAUGGACAGUGCUGGAUGGUGCAGAACCCACGUGCUGGGUCCCUGUGUGCUCAUGCCCAUCCAGAGAUGCCCUGGGGACACAAACAGGCCCUCAAAUGCAGAGGGCCUGUCCAGGGAGCAGGUGAGAGGGAAACGCAAAGACAAGUGGUGCCUCCAGGGUGGCCCAGCUCAAGCCUGCCAGAGCACACCUGCCUCGGCACCGGGGCUUCCGGGACCCCACCACUGAAUGCCAGGCCACCCCAGGCAGGGGACAGGCUGCGAGAAUGGGCCUCAAGCCCUUGCUGAUCUCCUCGCCAGCCACAGUGGGACAAGCUCUGAUGGGGCAGCAGGGCCCUACUCACCCCAUGGGCAGCCACUGGUUAGAGAUACCCCGGCCGCCUGGGUGCCCAAGCCGAGCCUCCCCUGGGGGCCGUGUGCGUCCCAUUUGGAGUCCCCACCAUGCCCACUGUCCUCUCCACAGCUGCUCUGGUGGGUGGGGUGCUGGCCUACCAGGGUGCAGCAGGGACACCAGGAAGCUCAGCACCUCACUCAGCACCUGCUCUUCAGGCUGAAGCUGGCAGCGGGACCACCUCCACUUGCCUAGGACUGCAGAGCACAACCUGGCACCCUCCUGAAGAUGACGCACAUGAUCAUGACCCACAGGACCCAGCGGCUCCACCCCCAGGGGUGAGCCUGAAAGAAGCAAAAACACACAGCCACACACACACACACAGCCACACACACAGCCACACACACACACACAGCCACACACACACAGCCACACACACAGCCACACACACACACAGCCACACAGAGACUGCAGGAAAGCUCACAGCAGCUUUGUGCACAGCAGCCAAAAGGCAGAGACAGCUCACAUGUCCACAGACUGACAGAUGGACAAACACCAUAUGUUCACCCACAUGGGGAGCAUCAUUCAGCAUAGAAAGGAAUGGGGCACAGGCACGCGCCAACACGGGGGCAUCGUGAAAGCACUGUGCUCGGCGAAGGAAGCCACACACGACCGCCUGCCAGAACACAUGCUACACACAACGGUGUGUCACACACAACCACACAUCACACGGAACACGUUACAUGCAAUGGUGUAUCACACACAACCACGUCACACGGACCACAUGGAAUGCAUGUUACAAUCAUAAAUCACACAAACCACAUGUCACAUGGAACAUGUGUUACACACCGUAUCUUACACAUAACUGCACGUCAUACAGAAUGUGUGUUACACACAACUGUAUCUCACACACAACCGCACAUCAUACAGAACGCAUGUUACACACAAUCAUAUCUCCCACACAACCGCAUGUCACAUGGAUGAAAUGGAACGCAUGUUACACACAAUCAUAAAUCACACACAACCACAUGUCACACAGAACGCAGAACAGGGAAGUCCCCAGAGACGGAAGCAGAUGAGGGACUGCUUAGGCCUGGGGAGGAGGGUGAUGGCUAAAAGCUGUGGGGUUUCUUUCUGAGGUGAAGCGAAUGUUCUAAAAGGGCCCGUGGGGAUGUUGCCCAUCUAUAAACACGCUGAAAGCCAUGGACGUGUCCACUGGAAGGGGAGGGAUCAUAUGAUAUGUGAGCUACGUCUCAAAGAAAGCUGUUUUUUCAAAAAGACUUGUUUCCCGUCUCCCCCGAGGGCUUCCUGGACUCCUGUUGCUUGUCUCUGUCACGAAUCCUCACCCCAAAAUCAUAGGAUGAACACCCCAAAGAAAUCAUGAGAACUCUUCUCUUUGUAGCAAACCACCAAAGGAGAAAUUCAUGCUUGAAACUGUAUCCAAACGGAUCAGGGGCCCAAGGGCUGGAUGAUCUUCACCGCAGCUGGUCUCUGAAAACAUGCCUUGUGACCUGCAGUGAGGAGUCCGCAUCUGUCUGUGCCACCUGCUGAGACUGUCCUCUCUCGGGCUCCCAUGGGGGCUGCGGGCUGGAGCGGGGCCAGGAGGGAGGGGGAUGGACGGCUGGGAGGAGGACAGACACCCACACCUCGGUGACAGGUGACAGGCGUUGGCUUGGGCAGAGCCUCGGUGACCUGCCUAGGUUUUCUUCCCCAAAGCAGAUCCCAGCUGCGUCUGCACCCAGCAGGCCCCAGAGCCUUCUCCUCCGUGGGGGGGUGGGGGUAAGUCCCCUCCUGCUGGGCUGCCAGGCCUCAGGCAGCCUCGACGCAGCUCUGCACCCAGCUCCCGGCUCCCACAGAGAGCCCUGCAGCUACAGCCGGGGCGGCAGCUUCCAGUGGGCUUCCUGGACCCCUGUCUCCCAGCCACGCCGACCGCAGCCACUAUGUGGCUCCUUACAGUCCUCCCCCGGGACCCCUCAGCCCCCACUGGCCUCCGUCUCCCCAUCCUGGUGCCCCUCUGCUCUCUGUGGGUCUCCAUGGGUCACCCCACUGCCCCGUUCAUCUCUCCGUCCUGGCGCCCUCUGCCCUCCGAGGGUCACCCCCGCCGCCCUCUCAUCUCUCAGGUCUUGUCCCUGCCUGGCAGCGGGUUGAGCACUGGGCCCACUCCUGGGCCUCCCAGCUCCCUUGGGACCAUCUCUCUCACCUCUCCAGCCCCUCCAGCUGUGGACACUGACCCCUGCCUGGCUAUGGGGCUCUAGGGCAAGCCCCUCCGGCUCCAGGCCUUCAGCCCCCUCCCCCCAGCCACACCCAGGAAGGAAGGAAGCCCCCACUGCUCUGCCCCUUGGAGGGUCAGCGACGCCUGCCCGCACAGGGAAGCUCUCC